CUUGGCCAACCCUAGGGGGCUCAUGGAGGCAUCCUGGGGGAGAUUUGGGGGUCCCGGGGGGUCCCAGGCCUGCCCUGAACCGGAGUCCAGGGGUUUCAUGCGCAUGGGGCACAACAGGGGCUCCCCCCACUCCCUGUUUUUGGGAGGGUCUCCCAUGGUGCCCCCUCCCUAAAAAGCUCCAAGAGCCCCCUGAAGUGGCCCUACCCGCAGCGACUGCGGCCGAGCCGGGCGAGCCCAGCGGCGGGCUGGAUUCACGGCCGCAGGGCCCUGCUGCUGGAGAUGGAUCAUGCGAUGGCUGGCUCUCGCAGUUAAGGGAUGGACAUUGUGUGGAUAUUGAGAGAAGCUUUGUUGAUGUAUAGUUGUGUUACUGUCGUUUAGAUGUCCUCUGCUCUCCCCAGAGUUCCCCUUUUGCCAAGGCCUUCCCUCUUCCCUGUGGGCGGCACAGGCCCCGCUCCGGCGCGGAGCCGCUUCUGACUGCCUCUGUUGGAUGGAGCCUUUCCUGCUGUGUCUGUGUGCCUUGACAGCGUGUUGGUACAGGGAUUUUUAAGCCUAUUUUGUUUUCUGGCUAAAUUCUGGUUGUUUUAUAUAGUUUUACAGUGACUGGAGAGAUUGAAAAGCGGUAAAUGCAGCGCCUCAUUACCUAUCAAAUUCUGACAUGGUCUGAUCUCUUUAACAAGAAUGCUAACAAAUUUGCCAUAUAAAAUGAUGCCAGAAGCCAUCACAAAAAGCUGUUGGGGUGUUCAGCAAUACGCUAAAUUUCACAUUAUAUAUUUAUUUUCUAGUAACCCUGCACUUUAAAAAGUCUUACCGAAUUUCUGUUUCCAUGGAAUUUGCAGUUACCAUGGGUUUUUCUCAUCACCGAUUUACUUAUAAUUCUAAUGUGCUUGUUACAACUUUAAUCCCUCCAGUACACCAUCAUGCUGUUAUUUCACUUAUGGCUCAUUCACCUUUCAGUUGUCUUUUUGUGUUAAUAAAACCUUAGACAAAGUUACAUCAUGUCAUAUCCGUAACUUUUAAGGAUGUUCAUUUUAAUUCUGUAAAUUAAGGCCCAACAUUGUAAUGCUCAGUUACGUUCUGUUAAAUUGAAUAAGGCUAAGUUUCAUGAAGUGAAUUUUGGUCGAUUUUAUUUCUGUUCAGUUUCAGUAUUACUAAGUUUGAACAAUGUUCUAUUCCAGUUUUUUAUGGAUCCAGUUAUGUUCGGUAUUAAUAGUAAUUAACUUGGA